rnacentral:rRNA from 1 species
AUUGAACGCUGGCGGCAUGCCUUACACAUGCAAGUCGAACGGCAGCACGGGGCAACCUGGUGGCGAGUGGCGAACGGGUGAGUAAUGCAUCGGAACGUACCUUUCAGUGGGGGAUAACGUAGCGAAAGUUACGCUAAUACCGCAUAUUCUGUGAGCAGGAAAGCAGGGGAUCGCAAGACCUUGCGCUGAUUGAGCGGCCGAUGUCAGAUUAGCUAGUUGGUGAGGUAAAGGCUCACCAAGGCGACGAUCUGUAGCGGGUCUGAGAGGAUGAUCCGCCACACUGGAACGGGGACAGGGUCCAGACUCCUACGAGAGGCAGCAGUGGGGAAUUUUGGACAAUGGGGGCAACCCUGAUCCAGCCAGGCCGCGUGAGUGAAGAAGGCCUUCGGGUUGUAAAGCUCUUUCGGCCGGGAAGAAAUCGCACGGGCUAAUACCCUUUGUGGAUGACGGUACCGGAAUAAGAAGCACCGGCUAACUACGUGCCAGCAGCCGCCGUAACAC